CUCUGUUCCAGAUGGUUCAGGGCGAAAGGAG
ncrna:Sporosarcina ureae DSM 2281 L31-Firmicutes ribosomal protein leader